AUGCUAGUCGAACGCACCUUUCGGGGUGAGUGGCGGACGGGUGAGUAACGCGUGAGAAUCUGCCUUUUGGUCGGGGACAACCACNGGAAACGGUGGCGAAUACCGGAUGUGCCUACGGGUAAAAGAUUUAUUGCCAAAAGAGGAGCUCGCGUCUGAUUAGCUAGUUGGUGGGGUAAGAGCCUACCANGGCAGCNAUCAGUAGCUGGUCUGAGAGGACNAUCAGCCACACUGGGACUGAAACACGGCCCAGACUCCUACGGGAGGCAGCNGUGGGGAAUUUUCCGCAAUGGGCGAAAGCCUGACGGAGCAAUACCGCGUGAGGGAGGAAGGCUCUUGGGUCGUAAACCUCUUUUGUCAGGGAAGAACACAAUGACGGUMCCUGACGAAUCAGCAUCGGCUAACUCCGUGCCAGCMGCCGCGGUAAUACGGASGAUGCAAGCGUUAUCCGGAAUUAUUGGGCGUAAAGCGUCCGCAGGUGGCUUGUCAAGUCUGCUGUCAAAGACUGGGGCUUAACUCCGGGCAGGCAGUGGAAACUGACAGGCUAGAGUGCAGGAGGGGUAGAGGGAAUUCCCGGUGUAGCGGUGAAAUGCGUAGAUAUCGGGAAGAACAUCGGUGGCGAAGGCGCUCUACUGGACUGCAACUGACACUCAGGGACGAAAGCUAGGGGAGCGAAUGGGAUUAGAUACCCCAGUAGUCCUAGCCGUAAACGAUGGAUACUAGA
rnacentral:rRNA from 1 species